UCUGUAUCUAAAUGAAAAGAGCCCAGAGUGAGACACUGAAGACCAGGACUGAGGCCAUCACAGAUCCAAACACAGACCCCAGUACUGUCUCGUACCCUGGAACACCUAUCAACCAGGACAUAGUGAAGGAGAAGAACAGAAGAGGGCUAUUAUACUGACCAAAGAUGAGAAGAACAUGGCCACCUUAGAGAAAAACCUGCCAGGCCUUUAGGUCCGACCAGACGGAGUAUGAGCGGUUUCUGGAUCACAUGACUCUCUGGCUCCAGGAGCACCAGGAACAGGCAGUGGAGCUGUUCAGCCUGUGUGAUACAGACAGCACUGGUACCAUCGGCCCCGAGGAC